GCGCCGGUGGUGUAAGGCGAACAUCGCUGCCCGGAAAGCAGAAGGUGCGGGUUCGAGUCCCGCCUGGCGCA
rfam:Heligmosomoides polygyrus genome assembly, scaffold: HPBE_scaffold0001360